rnacentral:lncRNA from 1 species
AUGUUACUUUUCUUGUCGUUUUCCUCCUUGUCUCUCUGAAUCUCCUCUCUCACUCCUUCCCAUCCCUCUGAUAUCCCUCAUCUUUGACUCCUUUUGUCUCCAAAUGUCCCCAUCUAUCCAUUACAUCUCCCUCAAGUUCUCCUCUUCCCCUUUCCCUAUGAUCGACUUUCUCUACUUUUUUCUCUUUACCCUCACCUUAAAUUUUCCUAAAUUAUGCCCAAAUUUGGAAAACC